ACUCAAAGGAAUUGACGGGGGCCCGCACAAGCAGUGGAGCAUGUGGUUCAAUUCGACGCAACGCGAAGAACCUUACCUGGGUUUGACAUCCGCUGACCGACUAUGAAAGUAGUCUUUCCCGCAAGGGACAGCGAGACAGGUGCUGCAUGGCUGUCGUCAGCUCGUGUCGUGAGAUGUUGGGUUAAGUCCCGCAACGAGCGCAACCCUUGUCUUUAGUUGCCAUCGGGUCAAGCCGGGCACUCUAGAGAGACUGCCGGUGACAAACCGGAGGAAGGUGGGGAUGACGUCAAGUCCUCAUGGCCUUUAUGCCCAGGGCUACACACGUGCUACAAUGGCGGAUACAAAGGGUUGCGAACCCGCGAGGGGGAGCUAAUCCCAAAAAGUCCGCCCCAGUUCGGAUAGGAGUCUGCAAUUCGACUCCUUGAAGCCGGAAUUGCUAGUAAUCGCGGAUCAGAACGCCGCGGUGAAUACGUUCCCGGGCCUUGUACACACCGCCCGU
rnacentral:rRNA from 1 species